rnacentral:rRNA from 1 species
GAGUUUGAUCCUGGCUCAGGACGAACGCUGGCGGCGCGCCUAACACAUGCAAGUCGAACGAGCGAGAGAGAGCUUGCUUUCUCGAGCGAGUGGCGAACGGGUGAGUAACGCGUGAGUAACCUGCCCUGGAGUGGGGGACAACAGUUGGAAACGACUGCUAAUACCGCAUAAGCCCACGGUACCGCAUGAUACUGAGGGAAAAGGAUUUAUUCGCUUUAGGAUGGACUCGCGUCCAAUUAGCUAGUUGGUGAGGUAACGGCCCACCAAGGCGACGAUCCAUAGCCGGCCUGAGAGGGUGAACGGCCACAUUGGGACUGAGACACGGCCCAGACUCCUACGGGAGGCAGCAGUGGGGAAUAUUGCACAAUGGGGGAAACCCUGAUGCAGCGACGCCGCGUGAAGGAAGAAGUAUCUCGGUAUGUAAACUUCUAUCAGCAGGGAAGAAAAUGACGGUACCUGACUAAGAAGCCCCGGCUAACUACGUGCCAGCCGCCGCGGUAAUAC